GGCGGCGAGUCCAAGUCCUUCUUGAACGGGGCCACAGCCCAUAGAGGGUGCCAGGCCCGUAGCGGCCGCUGCCGAUCGCGGGAGGAUCUCUCCUUAGAGUCGGGUUGCUUGAGAGUGCAGCCCUAAGUGGGUGGUAAACUCCAUCUAAGGCUAAAUAUAACCACGAGACCGAUAGCGAACAAGUACCGUGAGGGAAAGUUGAAAAGCACUUUGAAGAGAGAGUUCAAGAGUACGUGAAACCGUUCAGGGGUAAACCUGAGAAACCCGAAAGGUCGAAAGGGGAAAUUCAUUCGCGUUUCGGUCGUCGGUGACGGGUGGUCGUGCGACGGACGGCGUUCGCUCGUCGUCCGCGCCCUCCGUUCGUUCCAUAUCGACGUCGAACGCGUGCACUUUUCCCCUAGUAGGACGUCGCGAUCCGUUGGGUGUCGGAUUACGGUCCGCGGUGGAGCCCGCGUGCGGUCGUUUCGGCGGCAAGCGCGCGGACCCGCGGUCUCCCAUCCGACUCGCUCGACGGUAUACAGAUGGCGCGGGGCCGCUAUAUUUUACACAAUUAGCGUC
rnacentral:rRNA from 1 species